AACGACGGUUGAAACUUCCAGGAAAAAACUUCGAAUUGGGAGGGCGAUCCUCCCGGUGAAUUGACCGUACCCCAAACCGACACAGGUGAACAAGUAGAGUAUACUAGGGCGCGUCGAGAGAACCAUGUCGAAGGAACUCGGCAAAAUGACCCCGUAACUUCGGGAGAAGGGGUGCUCUCCUAUCUUUUGAUUAGGAAAGCAGCACAUACCAGGGGGUUCAAGAUAUUUAAUGCAAUGAAAAAUUAAAGCACGAUUCCCCAUAGGGAUAUG
rnacentral:ncRNA from 1 species